CAAAUUUGAAAUCUGGCUCCUCUCGGGGUCCGAGUUGUAAUUUGUAGAGGAUGCUUCGGGUGCGGCACCGGUCUAAGUCCCUUGGAACAGGGCGUCNUAGAGGGUGAGGAUCCCGUAUGUGACCGGCGACCAAGUCCAUGUGAAGCUCCUUCGACGAGUCGAGUUGUUUGGGAAUGCAGCUCAAAAUGGGUGGUAAAUUUCAUCUAAAGCUAAAUACCGGCCAGAGACCGAUAGCGCACAAGUAGAGUGAUCGAAAGAUGAAAAGCACUUUGGAAAGAGAGUCAAAAAGUACGUGAAAUUGUUGAAAGGGAAGCGCUUGUAACCAGACCUGCCGUCGGGUGCUCCGCGGGCAUUCUUGCCCGUCUACUCACCCGCGAUUAGGCCAGCAUCGGUUUUGGCGGCCGGAUAAAGACUCGGGGAAUGUAGCUUCGCUUCNGGGAAGUGUUAUAGCCUCUUGUGCAAUACGGCCAGCCGGGACCGAGGACCGCGCUUCGGCUAGGAUGC
rnacentral:rRNA from 1 species